GCCUGCUUAGCUCAGUGGUAGAGCGCGUCACUAGUAAUGACGAGGUCGCCAGGUAAAUACCCCCAUUCGAAUCGCAUGUGUUCCGCCGCUGACGUCACAAAGUUCAAUUCUGGUAGCAGGCA